rnacentral:misc_RNA from 1 species
UCUCCGUUGGUGAACCAGCGGAGGGAUCAUUACCGAGUUUACAACUCCCAAACCCCAUGUGAACCUUACCAUACGUUGCUUCGGCGGCAUCCCCCGGGCGCGGGCCGCAAGGCCUCAGCCCCGGAACCACGCGCCCGCCGGAGGCCCAAACCAAACUCUUGUUUUUGUAGGAUCUUCUGACUGGCCUUUUAGGCAAAAAAUUAAUCAAAACUUUCAACAACGGAUCUCUUUGUUCUGUCAUCGAUGAAGAACGCAGCAGAGCGGAAGAGCACACGUCUG